AUCGAUGAAGAACGCAGCGAAAUGCGAUAAGUAAUGUGAAUUGCAGAAUUCAGUGAAUCAUCGAAUCUUUGAACGCACCUUGCGCCCCUUGGCAUUCCGAGGGGCACGCCUGUUUGAGUGUCGUGAACUCCUCCACCCUCCACCUUUUUCGAAAGGCGUUGGGCUGGGAUUUGGGAGCUUGCGGGUCCCUGGCCGAUCCGCUCUCCUUGAAUACAUUAGCGAAGCCCUUGCGGCCUUGGUGUGAUAGUCAUCUACGCCUCGGUUUAGCGAACAUACGGGAAUCGCUUCCAACCGUCUCGCAAGAGACAAUCACUUCAAACUUGACCUCAAAUCAGGCGGGACUACCCGCUGAACUUAAGCAUAUCAAUAAGCGGAGGAAAAGAAACUAACAAGGAUUCCCCUAGUAACUGCGAGUGAAGCGGGAUGAGCUCAAAUUUAAAAUCUGGCGUCUUCGGCGUCCGAGUUGUAAUUUAGAGAAGCGUUUUCCGCGCCGGACCGUGUACAAGUCUCCUGGAACGGAGCGUCAUAGAGGGUGAGAAUCCCGUCUUUGACACGGACCCCCGGUGCUCUGUGAUACGCUCUCGAAGAGUCGAGUUGUUUGGGAAUGCAGCUCAAAAUGGGUGGUGAACUCCAUCUAAAGCUAAAUAUUGGCGAGAGACCGAUAGCGAACAAGUACCGUGAGGGAAAGAUGAAAAGCACUUUGGAAAGAGAGUGAAACAGUACGUGAAAUUGUUGAAAGGGAAACGCUUGAAGUCAGUCGCGUCCGCCAGGAUUCAGCCUCACGGUGUACUUUCUGGUGGACGGGCCAGCAUCACUUUCAAUCAUCGGACAAGGUCGAGAGGAAUGUGGCACCUUCGGGUGUGUUAUAGCCUCUUGUCGUAUACGGUGACUGGGAGUGAGGACCGCCUUUGUAGGAUGCUGGCGUAAUGGCUUUAAACGACCCGUCUUGAAACACGG
rnacentral:rRNA from 1 species